CCCUUAGACGUUCUGGGCCGCACGCGCGCUACACUGACGAAGGCAACGAGCUUUCCUUUACCGAAAGGUACGGGUAAUCUUUUGAAACUUCGUCGUGCUGGGGAUAGAUCCUUGCAAUUUUUGAUCUUAAACGAGGAAUGCCUAGUAAGCGCAAGUCAUCAACUUGCGUUGAUUACGUCCCUGCCCUUUGUACACCCCGCCCGUCGCUACUACCGAUUGAAUGGUUUAGUGAGGCCUUCGGAUCCGCGACUCGUUUGUGGAGAAGUUGGACAAACUCAGUCAUUUAGAGGAAGUAAAAGUCGUAACA
rnacentral:rRNA from 1 species